rnacentral:rRNA from 1 species
UACGUAGGGGGCAAGCGUUGUCCGGAUUUAUUGGGCGUAAAGAGCGUGUAGGCGGCCAGGUAGGUCUGCUGUGAAAACUCGAGGCUCAACCUCGAGACGUCGGCGGAAACCAUCUGGCUAGAGUCCGGAAGAGGAGAGUGGAAUUCCUGGUGUAGCGGUGAAAUGCGCAGAUAUCAGGAAGAACACCAAUGGCGAAAGCAGCUCUCUGGGACGGUACUGACGCUGAGACGCGAAAGCGUGGGGAGCGAACAGG